UGCCCAUGGUGAUCUGAGAUAUUCCA
rnacentral:piRNA from 1 species